rnacentral:rRNA from 1 species
CGACCGCAAGGUUGAAACUCAAAGGAAUUGACGGGGGCCCGCACAAGCAGUGGAGUAUGUGGUUUAAUUCGACGCAACGCGAAGAACCUUACCAAGUCUUGACAUCCCUUGACGAUGCUGGAAACAGUAUUUCUCUUCGGAGCAAGGAGACAGGUGGUGCAUGGUUGUCGUCAGCUCGUGUCGUGAGAUGUUGGGUUAAGUCCCGCAACGAGCGCAACCCUUAUGGUCAGUUACUACGCAAGAGGACUCUGGCCA